rnacentral:rRNA from 1 species
UUAACAGGGCGAGAGCUUGUUGAGGUAGACGCGAAACCGAGUGAUCUACCCAUGGGCUAGGUUGAAGUUCCGAUAAUAUCGGAAUGGAGGACCGAACUGGUAAACGUUGAAAAGUUUUCGGAUGACCUGUGGGUAGGGGCGAAAGACUAAUCAAACUCGGAGAUAUCUCGUACUCCCCGAAAUGCAUUUAGGUGCAGCGUCGCCAAGAGUGUGUCGGAGGUAGAGCUACCAAUAGGGCUAGGGGGCUUCACCGCCUACCAACCCCUGAUGAACUCCGAAUGCCGACACAUUGCAACGGCAGUGAGGCGGUGGGUGCUAAGGUCCAUCGCCGAGAGGGGAACAACCCAGACCAUCGGCUAAGGCCCCGAAGUGAUCGCUAAGUUGAUAGAACGAUGUGGGGAUGCAUUGACAGCUAGGAUGUUGGCUUGGAAGCAGCCAUUCAUUUAAAGAGUGCGUAACAGCUCACUAGUCGAGCGUUCCUGCGCGGAAAAAUAAGCGGGC